GCCGAUGUGGUGAAAUUGGUAGACACGCCGUCUUGAGGGGGCGGUGGCGAAAGCCGUGGGAGUUCGAGUCUCCCCAUCGGCACCA
rnacentral:tRNA from 2 species